UCUCGGUAGGUGCCCUCAGNGUUUUUUAGC
rnacentral:piRNA from 1 species